rnacentral:lncRNA from 1 species
UUUUCAAAUGUGGCCGCCAUAUUGUGCCCUGGGCACCUCCUUUUAUACGGUGACAGGCGGAAGCGAUUCUAUGACGUUGCGUGGAUAGUUUUAUAGUGCACCUUCUUCUUUAACAAACAUGUCAAACAGGAUGGCAGAUCAUGUACUUCAAGAAGCAUCUCAUUUACAAGAGAGAGAAGAGGAGCUGCAAGACAAUGCUGAAAAAAUUGAAGCCUACUGAAAAAAUGGGUGAGAAUGAUGAAAUUAGACAGGAGCUUCAAGUCAUGAACAAGUGGAAUUUAUUGCUAAACAAAAGAAACAAUUGAGGCUUUGCAAGCAAUAAACAGAAAGCUUACUGAAGAUUUACAAAAAUUAAAGGACACAUUUACAAAAAAUUUAGUAGAGAAAGAUGAGACGAUAGCUGCUCUACAACAAGCUGUCAACGAUGAAAGCCAAGUUGCGUUUUGGUCAAAAAAGCACUUGAACAACAGAUAAAAGAAGCUAAAGCUCAAUUAGAAGCUAAGCAAGAGAUGAACAUCAACUAGUUGAGAAAUGAGAAAUGGCAAGUAGAACAAGUACAGUGCAAAAUUUAUAAGGAAGAUUUUGGAGUUGAAAGAAAUGAAUGACAAGAGUUGCACCAAAGACUGUGAAGAAUUGAAGCAUUAUAUUAACUAAAAUGAAAAAGAAGCAUUCUACUUUGCAGGAAGCGUACAGCAAAAAUACAAUGCUAUUGAAACAAAACCAACAAUUAAGAGACAGUGCUUUUUUAAUGCAUCUGUGACUACUGAAACUGACAAAUUAGAGAUAGAUUUUAGGGAACAAAUUUCAGGUUUAAGUCAGGAACGAGCUAAACUGGAAAAGGAAUCCUAACUCAAGAUGUCAUUAAACAUUCUCUCUGCUGAAGCCACAAAUCCCGUCGGUACCAUCAGGAGACGGAUCAAAUCAUGCUCCAAAACCCCGUAAUAAUUAUGUGGGGUCUAUCAUCAACAAUGGAGUCGCAAUUGUAUGAAAACGCUUCAUUAAAAAUGGCAACCAGUUCACAUGAGACUAUGGGUCAAAGGACCUUCCAUUGUUGAAGAGCACUUAAAUAUUUUGACUCUCUAAAGAAGGACUGAGGAUAAUUUUGAGGAACAGUUCACUGAUGCUGGUCUCAAUGAACUGGGGACAUUUAGAAAAGCUCAACAAAAUAUUAAAAUAGGGAAAAGCUAAAGGAAGAAACUGAUGAGAAUGAGACUGAGUCCUCUAUUAUCAUCAUUGAUCAUAUUCAGGAGGUGCUAGAAUCCUCCACAUUAAUAGAUGUAUAAAAUUAUAGUGACACUGCUGUGGAAGAGUGUAAUGGAUACUGGGGAUGGAGUAAAGUGGAGGGACAAUCACUCAUUGACAUGCUGGAGAAACACCUUUAAUUGAGGUUAUUAAUGCUGUUUAUUUGUCUUAUAAUACCAAGCACUGAUCAUUUCAGUCUGACACUGUAUCUCAUAUUUUGUGGUCUAUUGAUAGCUGCUUGUGGUUUUAUGACCCUGUACAAGAAAUUCAAGAAUGGCCUGAUUUUGUUGACUCACUGAAUAGUUCAAGCAGAAUAAACAGUCUAAGGGAGAGAGAGAAGGGGAAGGAGCAUACAUGUAGUAAUUACUUUGUAUCAUCAGCUAUUUUAGGAACAAAUUACAAUUUAUUUUAAUUUUGUUGCGUAAUAAUGAAUUAUUUAAAUUGUGUCAUUGUCUUUAAAAGGUACUGUUUUGCAUUUGCAAAUUUCUUUUCAAA